GAUUUUUCCAGUUCUGCCUGACACCCAAAGAAACUGCUAUUUUCAUUAUAUAUGUAGCAGAUAAUUCUUUGAAACCGUUUUUAUAAUAGCAAAGGAUUGGAAACGCGCUCGCUUCUCAGAGUCUAAACAGGAACCCAAGAAGAAAGAUGACAGCAAUAGAGCUAGAGAAAAAAGAAGGAAUACAAGAACUUUGUCGAAAGAAAAUGAACAAAUGCUUCAACGUAGAAGGUGGUUUGUGGACUGUGCCUGUGGCCCUGCUCUCAGCAACAAGAGUACGCGUUCCCUCACGGGGCAGGCAACCCACUCCAGGCCAGCUUGAAAUCAGGGCUCCUCUACUGGGAGAAUCAGCAACUGGGGCUUCAGGGACCACCACGUGGGGAACCCGGCUUGGAACAGAAGCUAUCCCAGAGAAAAGGACAGCUGAGCACUGAAGGCAGGAAUCAGUAAGCUGUAAAGACAAAUAUAUACCCCUUACACUCAGCAUUUCUGCAGCUAUGUUUCCUUCUAAGCUAUUGAGUUUUGUAAACAAGUAA